rnacentral:misc_RNA from 1 species
UACGUAGGUGGCGAACGUUAUCCGGAAUUACUGGGCGUAAAGGGUCCGCAGGCGGAGACACAAGUCUGGCGUGAAAGCUCCCGGCUCAACUGGGAGAAGCCGUUGGAAACUGUGUAUCUUGAAUCAGGGCGAGGUCGGUGGAAUUCCCGGUGUAGUGGUGGAAUGCGUAGAGAUCGGGAGGAACCUCGAAAGCGAAGGCAGCCGGCUAGCCUAUGAUUGACGCUGAGGGACGAAAGCGUGGGGAGCGAACAGG